UAAAAAUAAACCAGUUAGGGUUUAAUGGUUCUUGUUUAAAUUUUUUUUUUUUGGAUUCAAAAUUUAUUAAUCGAUUUUCCUAAUAAUUUAAAAAAUGAUUAUUUGUUAUCCAAAAAAAAGAAUUUAACAAGAGCCGUUGAGUCCUUUCUGAUUUAUUAAUU